rnacentral:lncRNA from 12 species
AACACGUCAAUCACUUAGGAGUCAUUCUUGUCUACAUCUGCUCCGGCGGUGAAACAAUGGCGGACCGAUAACAGCUCACUCAGGGCGGGUCCAAGGGAAGUGUCAUCAAAACAAUUUGCUGAAACCUGAAGAAGAAGCAUCUGCGAUAUGAGAUAUGGGGAAAGAAACAUCAACACCAGUUCCACGCUAAAAAACAAUGGUGGAGAAACAAUUUUUACUCAGAAAUUAAUAGAUUGUUCAGCAUCUGAGAGUAAAGCAGGCCACUUUCCUAACACCCAACUGUCUGCAGGACCUUUUUAACAUCUUAAAACUGACAAGGACUGUCGGCUGGCUCCUCACCCCUGACCCCUUUGACGACGCCUGACUGCAUCUUAUUUUAGAUAUAGCAGGCUUAUGUUAAGCUGCUCCUGUCUUAUUCAGGAGCUUUAGGAAUGCACAGUUUUCACAGGUAUAGAGCUUGUAUUUACCUGCCAGCAGUGGCCUGUUAUGGUUUCCCUGUACCCCAAAAAUGGAAAUAGUUUUUCUCUCAAAGUGAGGGUGAGCUGGGGCUAAUUGCUUCAAGGAAAUUUACACUGAGGUCUGUAUUAUAUUAUAAAAGUCAAACUAGAUAAAGUUUGUCAAGACGUGAAAAAGUUGUAAAAGCUUGAAGAUUGAAACAGUUGUAGAGUUUAAAAUUUAGAUAGGAU